CCUACGGGUGGCAGCAGUGAGGAAUAUUGGUCAAUGGACGAGAGUCUGAACCAGCCAAGUAGCGUGAAGGAUGACUGCCCUAUGGGUUGUAAACUUCUUUUAUAUGGGAAUAAAAUGUUCCACGUGUGGGAUUUUGUAUGUACCAUAUGAAUAAGGAUCGGCUAACUCCGUGCCAGCAGCCGCGGUAAUACGGAGGAUCCGAGCGUUAUCCGGAUUUAUUGGGUUUAAAGGGAGCGUAGGUGGAUUGUUAAGUCAGUUGUGAAAGUUUGCGGCUCAACCGUAAAAUUGCAGUUGAAACUGGCAGUCUUGAGUACAGUGGAGGUGGGCGGAAUUCGUGGUGUAGCGGUGAAAUGCUUAGAUAUCACGAAGAACUCCGAUUGCGAAGGCAGUUCACUGGACUGCAACUGACACUGAGGCUCGAAAGUGUGGGUAUCAAACAGGAUUAGAUACCCUAGUAGUC
rnacentral:rRNA from 1 species